UACGGAGGGGGCUAGCGUUGUUCGGAAUUACUGGGCGUAAAGCGCACGUAGGCGGCUUUGUAAGUUAGAGGUGAAAGCCCGGGGCUCAACUCCGGAACUGCCUUUGAAACUAGGUAACUAGAAUCUUGGAGAGGUCAGUGGAAUUCCGAGUGUAGAGGUGAAAUUCGUAGAUAUUCGGAAGAACACCAGUGGCGAAGGCGACUGACUGGACAAGUAUUGACGCUGAGGUGCGAAAGCGUGGGGAGCAAACAGG
rnacentral:rRNA from 1 species